AGGCUGAGGAAUUCCUGAAGCCUGCAGCGAGCCUGAUCUUACUCCAGUUCUGCAAGCCCAGCCCUGACGCCCAGUCACGUCCUCUUCUUCUGUAGGCCACACACCAGUCUUCUAGACACUCUGCCCCAAGUCCAAAGUUCCUACUCAUAAGACUAGUCCGGGAAGGCUGGGUCUAUGCAGAAAGGCUACAGGCUUAUCAGUGCACACAACCUGAGGAAUCUUGGCACUCAGACCAGUUCAAUGAGAGGUCCAGGUACAAAUCAGGAGUAGCUACAAAAUCUGACUCAAGUUGCCAAAUCCCCAACUCUAUUUAAGACACUACAUCUUGGCAGCUUCGGUGCACUCCGGUACCUACAAGAGGAAAUGUCAAGACCAGCCUUGCCUCCUCCCGGAACGAAGUGGAGCUGACAUCACGUCCGGAUCUGGCCAACCGCCAGGUGGCCGGAAGUGACGUUGCCCGCCGCCUGUACUCUUCGUAAGGAAAAUAAUUGGCGGGCAGUGCUAGGUGUCGCAAAAAUUAAAGGGCUGCUUUCGCCUUGA